rnacentral:lncRNA from 1 species
AUGGAAAGUGGGCUUUCAGAAACUGGCAUUGGCACAUGCCAAGAACUUUGGAGAAAGCAUUCUAGAAGCCAGGGGGUAGAGAAAGAAGGGUUAAUGGAUAGACAACUGUUACUUGGUACUUGGUCUUUGGUCUUGGUCUUGAACUGCCAUUUUGAUCCUGGUGCUGCCCAAACAGAGGGAGGAAGAGUUGCUUCUAGAACCUUUUCCUAUCUCAAGUCUUUGGAGAACAAAGGAAAACCCUUCAAUACUUCCCUGUGGUUCCUGAUCAGCAAAGAGCAGUUUGGAGCAGUUCUGGUUAUCCCUGUUGUCUUUCAAGAUUGUUUUACAGAAGCACUUGAAGAAGGAUGAAUUGGUUUCAAUUCCUCAUGAAUCUGAAAUGAAGUAUUUCAAUCAGAAAGACAAGUGAAGAUCUAAAGAAAACAUUGGAGAUAUAGAGAUCUCAUCAACCAAUUAACCUGGAAGGAAAAUACAUCAUAUAGAAAAUGAAAAGAAAAAUAGAUAACUGAGAAUGAAUACAAAAGUGUAAUGUUUGGUAAUACAAUAUUAAUGACAUGAACAAUAAAACAGCAUACUUUAAGAGCA